UGUGAUGGGUCACUUUCUACAUAUGGCUCUGCUGCUGUGUGGGAUCGGUGUGCUGUCAGUGAGUUUGAGCUCUCAGGCUGGUUUAACUGUAGAAGCAGAACCUGGUGAUGAUGUCACUCUCUGGUGUAAACACAGUCUGACUCAACUAGAUUAUUUAUUCUGGUGUAAACACACAAAUAAUUCAGCACCAGUUUAUAUUGCAUGCAGAUAUUAUACAUCAUCAUCAUCCAAACCCUGUAGAUUCAUCUCUGAUAGUGAGAGGUCAGUGAUGGGAGUGAACUCCACGUUCUCCUCUCUCACUAUAACUGCAGUUAAUCUCUCUGACUCAGGACUCUAUUACUGCAGCAGUCUGGAGGGAAAAUUCAUGACCUUCAGCACCACAACACGUCUACAAAUCAGAGAGGGAAACAGAACCUCCUCCAGGAAUCCAGACAGACCUACAGAAGAAUCCUGCUCUCCUCCUAAAGUGUUCUACCUGCUGACUCUGGUGUUUGGAGCUGUGAUUGCGGUUCUGCUCAGUGCUCUUCUCAUCCUGAUCUUCAUCAAACAGAGUGAGAGGAAAGACCAGAGAGAGCAGCAGAGAGACGGUAAAAUACCACACUUCCAAUAGAAGUACCAACUACAAUGUGGUGGAUCCAUAUGUUCACUGUAUUUACAAAGUGGCAGAACAAAAAUAAAAGUUGUGUCUCUGUGAUGCC